GCCGCCGCCGCCGCCGGGCACCCAGCCCCAGGGGGGCGGGCUGGAGGGAGGGGGCGGGCGCUGGCCGGGGGACCCCCGCAACCAUGGCGGGCGGGGAGUGGGCUGCCGAGCCGCUUCACCUGCCGCAGAGGGGGCGGCCGGCGCCGCUUCACCUGCCGGAGCGGGAGGCCACCGAGGCGAGGCCGAGGCGGCGGCGCGCUCGGCGGCGCCUCCGGGUCCUAGAACCGCAUCCUCCCGCUCGCCUCGGGCGAGGGAUUGGCCGGGUCUGGGUGAAGGGGAUCACGGCCUGGGGAUUGGAGGGGCACAUCUUCUCCGCACCGAGGAUCUCAGCGACUGCGAGCACGGCUCGGAGACCCACGGUGGUGCAGCGUUGGGGCGCCAGGGCUGCGUUCCCGUCUCGCGUCCCGGACUGAGAAGAAAUACUUUCAGAGCUCUUUCAUUCAUCCUGACAAUGGCCAGAGAAGAGCCACUGACAAGACUUUAAGCAAGAGACGGAGAGUUAACAUCUAAUCUGGAGGAAGACCCUGGAAGGAGCCAGCCCCUUCCCCCAGGCUGACCUGGUUUAAGCCUUUCUUCUGCCAAGGUCACCAGCACCCCAGAUGGGUGAGAGAUGUGAUCACUGGUUUCGUGGCCUGACCAAGGACCUCCAAGGAGGUAUCUUUCCCAUCUUGGCCCACAGAGGAGGAAAUCCUAGAAGGGAUGACUGAAGCUUGGGACUAACACAUUGGUGGAUCUGUGCUACCCCCUGCUGGCCGUAGACGGUAUGACAGCCAAGAUAGGGCAAGGCUUCGAGGGGCGAUGGAUGGAUUCACCGCAGCGGCGACAUUUCUGGACUGUUGUCACCUUCAGUGCAGUCACUGGGAAUAUUCAGAACCCAGGUGAUUGAUAAGGUUUUCCCAGGGAUCUCUUCUCUCCCCUUCACCAUUACUCAGUAGGAGCUUCCUUAAAAACGGAAAACGAGAGGCCGGGCGCGGUGGCUCACGCCUGUAAUCCCAGCACUUUGGGAGGCGGAGGCGGGCGGAUCACGAGGUCAGGAGAUCGAGACCAUCCUGGCUAACACAACCCCGUCUCUACUUAAAAUACAAAAAAUUAGCCGGGCGUGGUGGCACGCGCCUGUAGUUCCAGCUACUCAGGAGGCUGAGGCAGGAGAAUCGCUUGAACCCGGGAGGCAGAGGAGGUUGCAGUGAGCUGAGAUGGCGCCACUGCACUCCAGCCUGGCCGACUGAGACUCCAUCUCAAAAAAAAAAAAAAAAAAAGGAAAAAGGGGCCGGGCGCGGUGGCUCACGUCUAUAAUCCUAGCACUUUGGGAGACCAAGGCGGGCAGAUCACGAGGUCAGGAAUUUGAGACUAGUGUGGCCAACAUGGUGAAACCCCAUCUCUACUAAAAAUACAAAAAAUUAGCCGGGUGUGGUGGCGCAUGCCUGUAAUCCUAGCUACUCGGGAGGCCGAGGCAGGAGAAUCGCUUGAACCCAGGAGGCCGAGGUUGCAGUGAGCCGAGAUCACGCCAUUGCACUCCAGCCUGGGCGACAGAGCAAGACUCCGUCUUGAGGGAAAAA
rnacentral:lncRNA from 1 species